CGGCAGCCGCAGAGGCGGGCUCUCCGCCCGGGGCCCCCUCCCCGCGCCUGCGGGCCGCGAGCCCGGGUGCUGCAGUCUGCGGCGCAUGGCGGCUGGGGCCUGGGCGGGGGGCGGGCGCAGGUCCGGAAACAGACCAGCAGGGGAAUGGGAAAGGCGGCCUGCCUUUAUCUGGACCAGCCUUGAGACGUAAGAAAUGCAUACAGUUUUAAAGAUGAAGCGCCAUGAAAUGCAGAAACUUCUGGUCUGGAUAGCUCAGCUGAUUAUUUUCAUGUUGCCACAAUUUGUCACAUGGCUUGAUAAGUGGUCCGUAGGUCCAUGCCCGGGAUCCAAACCGGCAAACACAGGGCUACUGAAGCAGAGCACACGAACGUAACCACUAAGCCACCACACCCACAAACAGAAGGUGGACAUGAUGACUGGAGUUUUAGCAACCAUCUUAUGACAAUAAAGCGAUCCUAAACCAUAGCUAAGGAUGGAGGAAGAUAGAGACUAGGUCCCUGAUGAGACUGUGGAGCUGCCACACAAGCCCUGGGUUGCCUAUCUCUGAACUUCUCGUUAUAGGAGAAAAUAAAACAACUUGUUUAAGCCACACU